rnacentral:rRNA from 1 species
GUUAGGAAUAUUGGACAAUGGGCGCAAGCCUGAUCCAGCCAUGCCGCGUGAGUGAUGAAGGCCUUCGGGUUGUAAAGCUCUUUAGUCCACGAAUAUAAUGACUGUAGUGGAAGAAUAAGCCCCGGCUAACUUCGUGCCAGCAGCCGCGGUAAUACGAAGGGGGCGAGCGUUAUUCGGAAUCACUGGGCGUAAAGCGUGCGUAGGCUGUGUUGUAAGUCAGAAGUGAAAGCCCAGGGCGUAACCCUGGAAUUGCUUUUGAAACUACAAGACUCGAAUUCGGGAGAGGAUAGCGGAAUUGUCAGUGUAGCAGUGAAAUGCGUAGAUAUUGACAGGAACACCAGUGGCGCAAGCGGCUAUCUGGACAGAUAUUGACGCUGAGGCACGAAAGCGUGGGGAGCAAACAGGAUUAGAAACCCGGGUAGUCC